CUUCCCUUCCCUUCCCUUCCCCUUCCCACCCACGGUCCCUUGUAAACUUUCGAGAGUUGACUUUCUUCCUGCGGCUCGCCGGCGGCGGCUCCUCCUUCCCCCCCGCUUCCCCGGCACAGAUUUUGAAAAGGACCAACUGUCGGCACUGUCACCAGAAGUAUUGUUUAGACUGCAGUAAUGCAUGACCUUGGUCUUGGAAGACAACUGUCUGUUCAGGAGAAACAUCUGUUAAUCAACAACUUUGACUGGGCCACACAUCAGAGCUGAGCUCAGUUCCUGUGCUCUCCCUCAGCCCUUACAGCGCCCAAGCACCUCAUGUGUGAAUGCAGAUCUGAUCCCUGUACUGGAGGAAAGUGGAAGAUUGACCCAAGGAGACAGACAUCUGCUCUCAGGGAGAGGCUCAUACAAAAAGAUGACUACGUGCAGUGAGCCUUUCACAUACAAGGAAUGUAGCAGUGCAGCAUGUGCCAAGAAAGUGGCACUGAAAUACUACAGCUUACCGUUUCAUAGAACUGUG